UCAAAGACCUCUUUCUUACCCUGGUAACUGUAGAGGGAGUAAGAAGAUCCUAACUCUGCAUCUGAUUUUCACUUCUGACACCUGGCAUCAGGGAACCAAGUGUUACUUAAGUGUUAGUUAAUUUAGAAACAGAUAAAUCCUCUCCUGGAUUUAGCCCUAAUCAUACGCAGAAGACACCUGAAUGCCAAGUGAGACCACAUCUGUGACCCUGCCAUUUCCCACAGAGUUGAAACAAUGCUGACCUCCUUACCCAGCUCUGCCCAGAAGCGGAGCAUCCCUAAAUGCACACAGCAGGAUUUGCUUGGCCAUCAUUAGAUCUAGUUUUGCCUCAGGGUCAGGGCCCUGGCCUUGUUCUCUUCUUAAAAGGCUCAGUAAGAGAAUGAGGAUUUCCUAUGCGAUGAAGGAAUAGCUAUUUGGCAAAAGGGUCAGUGCAGGAAAUUAAAGCCAUGUGCAAAAAGCAGCUGGUGAUGGUCACUGGCAAAGUUAAAGAAGCGGACUGCAGAAAUGUGUGCUGGGAUUAAAAAAAAGGUCCUCUGAAGAGAGAAGCUCUGUAGCAGUGUGCACUGGUAGGACAGUCGGCAGGAGAAAAGACCCAAGAAAGGUGCAGAGAAAAGUCCUGCCAGUGCUGUGUAUUGACAGCUGAAAUCUAGGCUUUCACGGGAAAACCACCAGAAGCUGAGGAGCACUUGAACCUCCUGGAAGCAUGACAAGAACUGGAAGCUGUACGCAAGGAUGUUAGAGGCAAGGCACAAUAUUCUUUCUUUUUUCUCCUUCUAUAUAAACUCACCAGAGGUGAUUAAUUGUAAGUACUGAAAGCAAAGGUGAUUGUUGAGGGGCAGAGGACUGUGCCACGUUGCGUUACUUGCAUUAUGCAGUCUGUGCAGGCACAGCAGAGAGGAGAGCAAUGGCUGCAGGGCCACUGAGCCAGACUAAGUGAUCCAGCUGUCUCUCCUGGCCUCAAGGUCCAUGAAUCUUAGUGCAAUCUUGUUCUGCUCUUGGAGUGGUUUUUUGUUUGUUUGUUUUUGUUUUGUUUUGUUUUCCCCAAAAGGCUGUGAUUCCCUUGGAAAAGGAUUUGUAAUGUCCUCUUAAUUGCAAAGGCUGGCAGCAUAAUGCUGAGCAUGGUCUCUACGGUUCAGUUAUAUGGGACGUCUCUCAGAAAGCAAGCUGCCUCUCUCCAAGGACAUAAAUCUGUAGAACUGUGGCAUCCCAGGAGCUCGGAGCAAUAAAUAAAGAAAAUCAACCCCAGUGCUCUCACAGCUCGCCACCACCCGAGCCGAGCAGAUGAACUCUGGCUGGAAGCAGAGCCGCGAAGUCUGCAGUGAGAGACGUCGCUGACUCAUCGAGGGCAGCCUGCCGGCCUCGGGGAAACAGCUGGAGACAGAGCCCAAGAGAGGAGCAGGAGGAGGAGGCAGCACCCGGUGUGUGCCACGAUUUCCAUGCAAGGGUACAAGGAUCUCAGCAAAGAGCUUGGUCCCUCAAGCUCCCUUUUCCAUCUAGGGGAAAAGCCUCUACUGAUGUAGAGGGACUCCUAGAAGUAGGAAGAAGCCUCUUCCCCUUUAGUAAAUAAAUACUACCCCCUGCUUUCACUUUGCUGCUCCAAAACGCUGCCUCUGGUCUUUAAGCACCACCUCCGCUGCCUGCAAUGGCAGCAGGGCUGUUAGCUGCUGUGAUUUAGAGACCGGAGGAGGCCACAGAGGCCGCUUCCUUCUGCAGUGCACAGGGCAGCGAGAGCUCAGAAACCUGCAGACAGCUGCCAGACCCAGCGGAGAGGGAAGAGGGAAAAGCCCUUCCCCAGUCCCUAGGAGUUUUUUUCCUGCACACGCUCUGUGCUGUCAGCACCCAGCAGAGGGGGGGGGACACGUCUGGCGCAGUUCUACACGUGGCAACAGGCCCAGGUCUGGGGCUGUAUUUGGUGUUGUGCUACUCUAGAUAAAAGCUGUUUUAAGAGCAGCCCCCGGGUCACUCAGCAUGGUGACCUGCCGUGCACCUGGAUGGGUGAAGGGAGCAGAGGUGGUGUUCCUUGCUCAUCCAGAGACAGUGCUUCUUGGAUGUGUUCAGUCUCUUUUUAGUGUGGGAAAAGGCACUCCUAGUUCUUCUAUAUCCAGCUCCUCUCAUACAGCACUAUUUAGGUGCCUUCGGUCUCUGGCUUAGCAUGAUGAACAAGUCCUAAUGGCUGCAAUUGAGCCCACACUGCUAAGAAAUCUUGUGUGCUCUCUCUUGCAAAGGGCCUGAUUUAGCCCAGUGCUUUGGAGUAUUCAUCAGCUAAUGACUCUGUCUUGCUGCUGUUAACUCCUGCUAUUAUCUUCGAAGCCUAGAAAUAGGAAGAAAAUACCCUGGUAUCUCCUUGAUAGCAACAAAAUAAUUACUUUGUUUUCCCUGAGGACAUUCAGCUUGAGGUGUGUGUGCUCUCUCCCUUCCUGCUGGAGUUAUUUCAUGCAAAGCAAUGGUCUUUCCAUUUCCAUAAUUUAAAACCUGUAUCAGGCUUAACAACUCCCCGCUCUGUCAUUCUGCUGACAGAUCAGGGAGUGAUGAUAACUUUCUCGUGUCAAAGUAACUAAUGAGAAGGAAAUUAUCUGUCUCUCUGUGGAAAUGCUGCUGUUCUUAGCUCCUGUGGGAUGCUGCUGGUCCCCACUGGCGAUGACAGACCCCGAUGACAGUGCCAUGGGCCAUGUGAUGGAGGAGCUGUGGGGCGGCCAUGGGGCCAGACACUGGUGGAUGUUACAUACACUCAUAAAAAUCUUUAACUGCACCUGUGUCAUGGGAUAGUCCAUGGGUUGAGGUGAAUUUGACAGUCAGUAGUGUCUCGCCACACGGAGUUAAUCCAGCUAUGUAUUUUUUUGCCUGUGCUCUGAUCACUGACAAGCACUAGGACAGUCACAGCAAUGUACUAUUUGACUAUAUAUAGUGCUAUCAUAAAAAUAGUUGUAUUAAAAACAGCAUGGGAGCUGCACGUCUCAAGGAAAGGAGCUGGAUUUUCACACAAACUGAUUCCUCCGGCAGGUUCCUGCCCUUCUCCUGGGUCCCACUUUCAUUUCUCAAAACAUUUCCCUCCCUUUGGCACUAGCUGACGCUCUGCAGCAGCUUCAGCAGAAACUCGCGACGGUCGAGGCGAGGAAAAUCAUUUCCGUCCCCCAGCUGUUCUCUCAAUGCUUGCCUGACUGGCUGGUUUGCCUCCCCACUCCUAAAACUCACGGAGCCCAUAUGGUAUUUAUUCUAACAUGUUUGCAGUGCCACUGGGCGGAGUGUGUCCUAUUUAUUGCACACUUAGUUUCUGAGCACUUUGGAGCACCACUGGAAGUAAAUAACUGGCUUUAUAAGACGAUGCUUGUAACUUGUUGCUCCAGAUGAGGAUUCUCUGGUUUCUCUAAGAUGUACAGAGGGUGAUUGUUGGAGGCUGGAGUAGCAGCUGUAAUCCCAGUUGCAGAUCAAGGGGAAUUACACGCUGCCACCACCUCCUCACCUGCACCCUCCCUCUCAGCAGGCACAUGGAUUUCUUUGCCUUUGGCUCCUUUAUUCAGGUCUGGGGCAAAGCCCACACUACCUCCACUGCUGCGAAUCUGUCUGCUGACACAUAGCACAGACUUCUUUGUGUGUCAGAAUUUACCAGCCAGGCACUAAUAUUGAUUUUUAGCUUGUUUGGCAUGUAGAGUGAAAAUCCAAUGCUGCUUUUGUAUGAGGAGCCAUUUCAUACUUUCAUAAGAGACAUCAGAAAAAAAUCCAUCAAUUACUGGGGUCUCUUCAGGGGAACUAAUUAUUGUGCUACACAUACCUAUUCUGAAAACUUAAUAAUAUCUCGAGAUGCUGUCAAAAGUUCUUUGGAGGUCUUACAGCCCACUAGGGAAUCCUCUGCUGUUCUUUUUUUUUUUUUUUUUUUUUUUUUAAUGAAUCAUCAAAUGUUACAAGAAGGAGCUGGACUGAAAACCCUGUAUUGACACCAACUCAGGGUGGUUGGGUGGUCUUGUUCCCUUUUGGACAGGGGGAAAGAUUUUUGCCUUUUUUUUUUUUUUUUUUUUUUUUUUUUUAAUACCUAGAUCAUGUUAGAUUUUGUUAGCUUUACCUUAGGUCAACUGUUUAACCGUGACUGCCCAUUGCGAUGCUCUCAGGGAACCGGAGAUGGAUCCUGCUGUCUCUAAUGGGAAUUGUCCCAACUGGAGCAAUGAACAGGCAGCCUUUGUUUUGUUUUGUUUUCUUCUGGCAGAGGGAGGUUAUCCUAGCAUUGGGCAGAAGGCAAAAGCCAACAGUUGCAGAUCUGUCUUAGUUACUCCUUGCAUGAAUGCAGCAGGAUCCUAGGGGGGCACCAGGUAUUUUUUUUUUUUUUUUUUUUUAAUCUUGUUUGACAGUUCAACAAAUGCCCAGCAGGACUGAGGACUCCACCCCAGUCCAGAGGCAUAUUUUUGAUGAUUGUGAUUAUCUUGGCUGCAGUGUUAUUGGAAUAUUCCCCCUCUUUCAGAGUUACGCAUACCAAGGUCUACUGCAUGCUAUGGCAAGGUUUUAGGCAUGUAUUAGGGCCAAAAGAGGGGGGGGUCUUUGCAUGGCACUGCAGUGUGUCAGGUUCUCCUCCCCUCUUUAUGUUUUGCAGUUGCUUUAUGCCUUCAAAACCUGGCACCUAACCCUGCAUGGGCAGUGUUAGGGCUCAGCAUGCUGCCUGAAAAUCACCUGAAUGUCAUUCAGAGAGGUUGUGUGCCAGUCAUUAUUCCCAUCCUGAGCCUGUACUGGAGCAGAUAGGCUUGCAUCAGGACACAGAGGCUUGCACGAGGCUCAGCUUCCAGGAGGUACAACAUCAAGAAAGGCUUUUAAAAUGGCAGUUUAUGCUGGAGUGCUCCCUUCUGCAUAGGAGAUGGUUUGGAGGAGGUUUUUUUUUUUUUCAUCUCAUCAGAAAGAAAGAGGAGUGGUGCAAGCCAGCAGCAGAGAAGGCGUCCCACAGCUCUGUGCAAAAGCCAGAGGUGAUGUUAUUGUCUGCAAGAAGACAAACCAGAGCUGUGAUAGAAAUAUACCCUGGUCUUUUCCCAUUUGCACUUCCAGAUGGCUGUUAUAAAACACAGAGACAUGAAGUAUAUGCCUGAAUCUGUCACAGAUGACAAAACCAUGCUUGUGGAUCACGCUAAUCCCAUCAUGUCUGGCCCUUAUGUCCUCUUGGGCGUGUUACUAAUCCCUGUGGCUCUCCAAAGAACUAGAUUUUCCUUUAGACG